rnacentral:rRNA from 1 species
GAUGAACGCUGGCGGAGUGCCUAAUACAUGCAAGUCGAGCGAAGCGGGGACGGGGGAGUAACACGUGGAUAACCUCCUAUAAGACUGGGAUAACUUCGGGAAACCGGAGAUAAACAGGAUACUUAUAGAUGGAUCCGCGAUGCAUUAGCUAGUUGGUAAUGUAAAGGCUUACAAAGGCCACGAUGCAUAGACAACCUGAGAGAGUGCUAGGCCACACUUGACUUGAUACGAGGUACAGACGCCUACGAGAGGCAGCAUUAGGGAAUCUUCCGCAAUGGGCGAAAGCCUGACGGAGCAACGCCGCGUGAGUGAUGAAGUUCUUCGGAUCGUAAAACUCUGUUAUUAGGUAAGCGGUACCUAAUCAGAAAGCCACGGCUAACUACGUGCCAGCAGCCGCGUAAUAC